AUAGAUACCCCGGUAGUCCAUGCCGUAAACGUUGGGCACUAGGUGUGGGGCUCAUUCCACGAGUUCCGUGCCGCAGCAAACGCAUUAAGUGCCCCGCCUGGGGAGUACGGCCGCAAGGCUAAAACUCAAAGGAAUUGACGGGGGCCCGCACAAGCGGCAGAGCAUGCGGAUUAAUUCGAUGCAACGCGAAGAACCUUACCAAGGCUUGACAUGCACGGGAAGCCACCAGAGAUGGUGGUCUCUUUGGACACUCGUGCACAGGUGGUGCAUGGUUGUCGUCAGCUCGUGUCGUGAGAUGUUGGGUUAAGUCCCGCAACGAGCGCAACCCUCGUCCCAUGUUGCCAGCGGGUUAUGCCGGGGACUCAUGGGAGACUGCCGGGGUCAACUCGGAGGAAGUGGGGAUGACGUCAAAUCAUCAUGCCCCUUAUGUCUUGGGCUUCACGCAUGCUACAAUGGCCGGUACAAAGGGCUGCGAUACCGUAAGGUGGAGCGAAUCCCAAAAAGCCGGUCUCAGUUCGGAUUGGGGU
rnacentral:rRNA from 1 species